UGGUGGUGUUGUUGGUGGUGGUAUUGAUGAUGGUGAUAGGGUGGCUGUGGUGUAAAAUGAGCCGUGACCUACCACCACCAUCACCACAACCGUCACCACCACCACCAACACAAACACUACUACCAUCACAACCACUACCACCACCACUACUACCACCAUCACCACCACCAUCACCACCAUACCAUGACUAUACUGCUGUUCCCAAAGGGAGCCUCUGCAGGAUCGCUUGAUCUGCUAGAAACAGCAGUCAAAUAUCCUUCAAAUCACAACUUAGUACCGAUUGGAUAAUACAGUGGUUGAUGGAGAAAAUGACGUGAUGAUCACGGCUGGAACGUCUUUGAUCGAUCAGUUGAUUAGAGUCGAAACAACAGCAACAGUAAUAUUAUCACCACCACCACCACUGCCUAACAAUAUGAACGAGACUGUCAUGAACACCACAACAUCACUUAUUGACGAUGGCUUUUCAGUUACGAAUAAUCUGUUUACUUGUUUCAGUCAUUGGACUGCGGCCAUGCUGGGGCACUGACUUGAAGGGCCUAGUAAAAACAAAAUCCAACCCCUUUACACAUUCUUUUUCUUUUUCAUUUUUCUUUCUUUUUUUUUUGUAAGUUUGUUAUUUAUUCUCUUUUGUCGAUUCUUUGACAGAACCACUAAGUUACAGGGCCGUAAACAAACCCACACCGACUGUCAAGCGGCUGAGAAAUGACAAGAACAGACACAUAUACAUAUAAUAUAUAGAGGCGCAGGCGUGGCUGUGUGGUAAGCAGCUUGCUUACCAACCACAUGGUUCCGGGUUCAGUCCUAAUGCGUGGAACCUUGAGCAGGUGUCUUCUACUACAGACUCGGGCCACGAAAACCUUGAGAGUGGAUUUGGCAGAUGGAAACUGAAAGAAUCCCGUCGUAUAUAUGUGUGUGUUUUCUGUGUGUUUACACCCCCCCCCCCAUAGCUUGACAACCGAUAUUGGUGUGUUUACGUCCCUGUAACUUAGCAGUUCGGUAAAAGAUACCCAUAGAAUAAGUACUAGGUUUACAACGAAUAAGUCUGAAACAAGAGAAGAAAUAAAAUAAUAUAUAUACGCCGGGCUUCCACGCAGUUUCCAUCUACGAAGUUCACUCAGAAAGCGCUGGAUGGUACAGGGCAAAAGUAGAAAAACACUGAAGGUGCAACGCAGAGGUAAUGAACCUGAAACCACAUAGUUACGAAGCAAGCGUCUUUACCACACAGCCAUGCAUGCAAUUUUAGGGGAGGAGAUACCAUCGACCCCUACUAGAUCCGAAGGGGUGAAAGGUAAAGUUAGCCCCGGCGGAAUUUGAACUCAGAAAGCAUAAACCUAGAAAUAAAUACUAAAAUGCUUCUAUUCUUUAUUCCGAAAUUCUAAAGAUUUGCCAUUUUUUUAGUAAAAUAUUUUCAAGAGAAUGGGUUUGUUGGGACCAUCCGCUCCAGUGGUUUUUGUACUUGACUGGUCCUCUAUUUUUAUCGCUCUCUUCCUUCCUGCGAAAAGAUGACAGGCAAAGUCAAACUCAGUGGAAUUUGAACUCGGUAUGUAAAGAGCCACAAAGAAAUGCUACCAAGCAGUUUCUCCACUCACGAUUCUAUCUGCUCGCUACCUUCGAUAAUAAUAAUAAUAAUAAUAAUAAUAAUAAUAAUAAUAAUAAUAAUAAUAAUAAUAGUAAUAAUAAUAAUAAUAAUAAUAAUAGUAAUAAUAAUAAUAAUAAUAAUAAUAAUAAAUGCCCUGAUGCAGUACCAGACAAUGGCUCUCAUGGCUUCUGAUCUUAACUGAUUGGAAGUGUUAUGUACAUUGUUUUGUCUUGGUAUAAAAGAUGGGCUACAGCAAAUAUUCUGCUCAAUGCCACAGAUUUGCUUGUCUGUUGUUUGACCUUAACCAGUUGAGCAUGUCCCUUGGUGGCUAGCGAUAUGUGCAUCUCUGAUCAGGAGCAGAAGUAGUGGGGGAGCAUCACAGCCAUGUGUUGAUAGGGAUUAUUUGAGGUUUGAAUAAUUCGUCUCUGGAAACAUAGGUAUUUCGUUCAACGUCCUUAAACAACCCUUAUUCAGAGACCUUUUGAAUGGGAUGGGAUGAAGAAAAUUCUAACUGUGCCCCACCUGCAAGGUCAUGCGCUGCUUAUCUUAAUAUGAGAUCACCAGGUUUCGCAUAUAUGGUUGUGAUGCAUGUGCCUGAUGUACCCUUAUCAGUCGGGUAGUCAUGAUGGGUAUACUGGGCUUCGUAUAUUUUACUCCAGUGUCACUUUGAUGACAUGCACUGCUCUGUCAAUAAUAAUAAUAAUAAUAAUACAGGCAGCAAUUGUAGAAUCUGGAGCAGAGGUGACGAAUAUAUCAACCAUCUCUUCAGUGAGUGCAGUAUACUAACACAAAAAGAGUAUAAGCGCAGAUAUAACUGUGAAGGAAGAAGAAUACAAUGAGAUAUUAGCCGUGUGUGGUUUCUAAGCAACAGCAAUGUGGUAUGAAAACGAACCAGAGGCUGUGAUAGGAAAUGAGAGUUAGAGAAUCUUCUGAGACUUGCUCAUAAAAAUCGUCCAUGCUACUGAAAUAAGAAGACUAGAUAUGAUCACAGAGGUGGUGGGAGGGGGAAUAAAAUGCGUAAGACUUUUCAAUCGCCUAUAAUAACAGUUGGUAGCAAAAAAAAUGAAUGAAAUUGAGAAAGGUGAAGAUGCGGCAGUGGAAGAUGAAGACAACAAUUAUUCCGGUGCUGAUUGAUGUUCUUGGCACAACACCGAAAAUGUUAUCUAAAAGACAGAAAGAGAUUAGAAUUGAGACUCGCAGAGUCGAUUUUCAGAAACGUACCAUCCUAUAUUCUACAAGAAUCCUAAAGAAGACUCUUGGGAUUUGAGGAGACUUAUUUUCACCAAACAUCAAGAUAACAGGCGCAGGAGUGGCUGUGUGGUAAGUAGCUUGCUAACCAACCACACGGUUCUGGGUUCAGUCCCACUGCGUGGCAUCUUGGGCAAGUGUCUUCUGCUAUAGCUCCGGGCCGACCAAAGCCUUGUGAGUGGAUUUGGUAGAUGGAAACUGAAAGAAGCCCGUCGUAUAUAUGUAUGUAUAUAUAUAUAUAUGUGUGUGUUUGCGUGUCUGUGUUUGUCCCCUUAGCAUUGCUUGACAACCGAUACUGGUGUGUUUACGUCCCCGUCACUUAGCGAUUUGGCAAAAGACACCGAUAGAAUAAGUACUGGGCUUACAAAGAAUAAGUCCCGGGGUCGAUUUGCGCGACUAAAAGGCGGUGCUCCAGCAUGGCCGCAGUCAAAUAACUGAAACAAGUAAAAGAGUAUAACAAUAAAAUUAGCAGAAAAUAGCUUAAUAAUGAUAAUUAUCAUUAUUAUUGUUAUUUGUUAUUCACACAACAGAUUAAACUGUUGUAAAAGUAAAACUCCUAACAUCGGAUAACAAGCGUUCUUAGAUGCCUAUAACCGUCCCAAGUAUCUUAGCUGUCCCUAAUAACACUGUUUUCUGGAGCCGCACUGAAGUGGGUUUUAUGCUUACUUACUCAAUCCAUCUGUUCAAAUCUAUUUGGGGUAGUUCCAAAUGCACCUAUAACAAAAGGGAUACAUUUUACCCGUACUUUCCAUAGCUUCUGUACUCAAUGGCCAGGUCAUGGUACUUUGCUAUUUUCUCUUUAACUCCUAUAUUGACUUUCUCAUCAUCAGGGACUCUACUGACAUUUUCUAAUCUCUUUAUCAACCAGGCCUUCUAGCUUCUAUUAUUCUAUCGGACAGAAUGAUAAAAUCCCAUAUCUUAUAUUUCUUCUUCUUCAUCAUCUUCUUCUUCUUAUUAUUAUUAUUAUUAUUAUUAUUAUUAUUAUUAUUAUUAUUAUUAUUAUUACUACUACUACUGUCAUUACUAUUGCUGUAUAUAGGUGUAUAUUAUAUACAAAUACGUAUAUAAGUAUACAAAUAUUUAUCAAUACAUACAUAUAUAUGCAUAUAUAUAUAUGUAUAUAUAUAUAUAUAUAUAUAUAUGUGUAUAUAUAUACAUACAUAUAUAUAUAAUAUGUAUACAUAUAUAAUAUGUAUACAUAUAUAUAUAUAAUGUAUUUUAUGUAUACAUAUGUAUGUAUAUAUAUAUAUAAUAUACAUAUAUACUAUUUAUGUAUAUAUAUAUGUAUAUAUAUGUAUAUAUAUGUAUAUACGUAUAUAUAUAUAUAUAUAUAUAUAUCAUAGAUAGUUGGACAGACACACAUACGCACAUAUACGUAUGUUUAUAAUUAUGCAUUGAAUUUAAUUAGUUCUUCUAAUGAUAGGUAUUUAAUUACAUAUAUCAAAAUGAUGAUAAUUAAAAUAAGAAACAACAACUAUAAAUAUAAUCAUUGUUUGUAUCUGCAAAUUCUUAUUUGCAACGUUCAUACACCUUUGCGCAUGUGCGAGUGUAUGCACGUGUCUGUGUGUUCGUGUGUAUGCUGUGUAUAUAUAUAUACAUAUACAUGCGUGAGUGUGUGUUACAACUAAAUGCAUACAUAUAGGAAAAAUAUAUGUAGGUAUGUCUAUUUGCGUACAUAUAUUAUAUAUACAUACAUACAUAUAUAUAUAUAUAUAUAUAUAUGUAUACACACAUAUAUAUACACACAUAUAUAUAUGCGUAUAUGUAUAUAUAUAUAUAUAUAUAUAUAUAUAUACACAUACGUAUAAUAUAUAUAUAUAUACACACAUACGUAUGAUAUAUAUAUAUAUACACAUACAUAUAAUAUAUAUAUAUGUAUAUAAUUUCAUAAUGAGAUAAAAAAACGAGGCUGUGUAGAUUUUAGAACAUUUAUAAAUAGGUCUUACAGCUGUUUCCAGGAUAUUAUAUCCCUUCAUCGGAGACGGUGUGAAAAAAUGGUUUAGCAAUACUUAAUUUAGAUAAGAUACAAAAUAGAGAGUGAAGUGGAGGAAUGAAAAUAGAUGUGAGAUAUCCAGGGAUAUUUCAUUUGUAGAUCCAUUAUUUAGGCAGAAUGGUAUACAUAUAAGAUUCCAAUACCUUGUGAGUAAAAUCCAGUAGUAUUUAAAAUUGGUCAUUCUAAGUAUAGAUUUUGUAUACAAGGCCAUUGAAUCAAGGGUUUUAUUUAAAGUGACCUAAAAGUAGGGAAUUUAUUUGUAAGGUCAAAUCGGAAAAAGGAAGAGAGGAAUAAAGAAAAAAAUUUUUUUGUAUAUACACAUGCUGAUAUAUGGACCUACGUUGGACUCCUUAUUCACAUAAUCACCGAACCUGGAGCUUAACUAUGAUCUAUCCAUAGCACUUACUCAGCAUUACCUGACACCUUUGGGUCUUAUUGACAUCAUUACCUCUAAUAACCUAUAUAUAUAUAUAUAUAUAUAUAUAUAUAUAUAUAUAUAUAUAUAUAUAUAUAUAUAUAAUGAUAAAUAUCAAAGUGAGUUAUAUACAGUAGCGGUAACACAUCGUGACGUAUUUUUGCCAUUUUAAUAUGGCUAACCCCUAAGGGUGGAUGCUACUGUAGUUUUUAGCCCCAGGAGGACACACUCCUCCAGCUGGCCAUAGACACACUAUCUGUGUCCUGUCAGUAUUUGCAAAGGGAAGUCAUCCUUCCCGUCUUCAACUUAUGAUACACACGGACUCGAGUUUCGAGGUAUUGACCUCUCGUCAGCGUGUGACAAUCAUAGUUGUCGGCGAGAAUUAGAUUUCCUUCACAAAUACUUAUACUUUUUCCAGCGUCCACUGUCGCUGAUAAUGAAAAAGUGAAAUCAAACAAUGAUAAAUAUCAAAGUGAGUUAUAUACAGUAGCGGUAACACUACUGUAUAUAUAUAUAUAUAUAUAUAUAUAUAUACAGGUUGCAUAAAAAGAACAUCUAUGUGAAUGAGUGAGCCAUUCUUUGAUCGUAUUUAUCCUAGUAAUAUAUGUGAAGGCAGUCAGGUGCAUAUAUAAUUUCUUUAUUUGUGAAUUCAUGCUACCAUUGGUUUCAUGUCAAAAGAAGUAGGAAAAUAUCCUAGUAUCUUAACAAUUUUUCAAGCCGAUCAUAUGGAGAAAGGUGUUCGCUUCCAUUUGGAGUGUAAUGACAGUCUGAUUUAACGAAGGACUUAUUCAAAAUGCACACCUGAAGAAGCACAUUUUACACAUUUGAUGGAAGGUAGUGAUUAAUCACUAUGUUAAUUAUAUCAUCCCACCAAUGUUCUGCGGGUUUGGCGAUAUUUGGAAACAAUUGUAGUGGAUGUGUAAGACUUAUUAUUCAGUUGACCAUAUAACUCGUCUUCAGGCUCUGCAGAUUCAAUUUUCUCGCUGGGAACGAUAAGAAAAUCACCAGAAGAAUCGCCAUUUUUAUUAACAUCUAGUGAAGCAAUAUCAGGUUCCUGUCCCAAAGACAGCUGCUGUAUCGCUACAUUCUACUAAGGAACAUAUGAUUAAAUUUUAGCCAACACUGCUUAUCUGAACUGAUAUAAACACCUUGACUUUAAAGACAGAUGAAACAAACACCAGAGACGUUUAGCCUCAAGCAGAAACUGCAGAAGAUAUUAAAAGCUCUUUUCUUCGUCGUAGCUAAAGCUGUCGUAACUUUGGAAACACUUCCGUAUCUUUUCUUGGCUAAAUGUCUAGAGUUAUAUUCUGAGAUUCAAUAUACUAUUGAGCCAUGCAUUAAUUAAAGUAUCUAUCCCGAAUAUAUUAUGUAUACAAAUUGGUCUAUCUAAUUAAAUUAGUCUAUCUGAUUAAAUUAAACCUCAUUAAUUAUAGGUUUAAAGGUGGUAAACUGGCAGAUUUGUAAACACGCCGGACAAAAUGCUUAGCGGCAUUUUGUCUGUCUCUACGUUCUGAAUUUCAAAUUCCACCGAGGUCGACUUUGCGUUUCAUCUUUUCGGGGUCGAUAAAAUAAGUACCAGUAGAACACUAGGGUCGAUGUCAAUGACUAGCCUUUUCUCCCUCCAAAUUUCAAGCCUUGGUCCUAUAGUAGAAAGGACUGAUGAUGGAUAUAUAAGCGGAAUCGCUCUGAACUGUUACAGAAGAUAUUCGCUCCUUAAUGACAUCCCAAUAAAGGACUGAAACCAGUCUUGCUAAGCCCUCUUUUUUUUAAGUUCACUAAGAUAUUGUAUAUGAAGACAAGAUUUUAUACAUUGCGUGGUACAACAUUGCAACACCUGAUUAAUAGUAUCGCUUAGGUAUUAAAAAUGAAUGAAAUGAGUGUUCAACAACGCAUUGGUGCAUAUAUAAUUUAUUUAUUUGUGAAUUAAGGCUACCAUUGGUUUCAUGUUAAAAAGAGUAGGAAAAUAUCCUAGUAUCAUAACAAUUUUUCAAACCGAUCACAUGGAGAAAUGUGUUCGCCUCCAUUUGGAAAAACAUCUCGUUUCGUUCACGGGAUUUCUCGUAAAUUCACGUAAAUGAAACAAUGAAUAUAUAUAUAUAUCGGUUUUGUAGAAACAGAAAAAUAAAUUAGUAAAUGAGCGGUAAUCGAGUGUGUUAAGUGAUAAGGUACUAAAAGAGAAUGAUUCUCCGCAGACACAAUAAUGUAUAUAUACAUUCAUACAAUUGUUUUCCAUACUUACAGUUGAAAAAGUCUCAAUGAAUGAAACCGGUAUUGAAAUGUUUUUUAUAAAAUUAUUUUAGCAUUUUCUACCUUAGCUUUUUUCCAUAUAUAUAAAUACCACACACACUACCACACACACACAUACAUACAUAUAUAUAUAUAUAUAUAUAUAUAUAUAUAUAUAUAUAUAUAUAUAUAUACAUGCAUAUAUAUGUGUGUGUGUGUGCGCGUGCACUUACAAACGUAUACAUACGCACACACAUUACACCCUAUGUAUUUUCGUUCUGUGCGCAUAUAUAAGGAUAUAGAGAAAUGAGUGAUUGGGAUGUGGUGGCGUUGAUGAGGGAAGAGCUCCAUGCUUACUGGAAACCUGAGAUUCGUUUCAGGUUUCCAGUAAAAACAGGUGCAAACCUCUAUUUUUUCAAGUGUAAUAUACGGCGCCAUGGCAACGGUCUGGGUGCUGCGACGUGUAUGUGUGCACCUCGGUGCAUUUGUGUGCGUAUAUGUGUGUGUUGCGUGUGUGUGUUUGUGUGCGUGCGUGUGUAUGUGUUUGUGUGCGUGCGUGUGGUGUGUUUGCGUGUGUGUGUGUUUUGUGCGUUUGUGCUUGUGUGUUUUUGUGCGUGUGUGUUUGUGUGUUUAUGUGUGUUUUGCAUAUACGUAUGUGUGUGUGCGUGUGUGCUUGUGUGUGUCUGUGUGUAUUUGUGUUUGUGUGUGUGUGUUUUGCGUGUGUGUGUUUUGUGCGUUCGUGUGUGUGUGUUUGUGCGUGUGCGUGUGUGUUGUUGUUGGUGUGUGUGUGUAAGCACUUGAGUGUGCACUAUUCCAGAAGAAAAACUAUUAACGACAACAACAGAAACGACUACAACAAUAACGACGGCCGCUGGAGUGGCGGCACACGCGCCGCGCUGGAAAGGCGGAGUGUCAGCUUACUGCUAGAACUUCCGGUCACGUGUUGUAUGCAAAGUAAAAGGCUCAUUGGAUAGCAGAAAAAAGGGUCUUUUAGAUUUAAAGCGGACUUUUUAAUAGCUGUGGUUGGUCUAGAUGACAUAGUGCAGUGAGGGAGUUAGGGGUUAGUGGUGGUAGUGGUGGUGGUGGCGGCGGUGGUGGUGGUGGUGGUGGUGGCGGUGGCGGUGGAUGAUCACUGUAACGUUGUUUACGUUCUCAGGCGUAGAAGAGGGGUUAAACUAAGAAUGUGAGAGAGAGAGAGAGAGAAGGAGGUGAGAGAGCGAGGAACAGAGAGAAAUGCAAGAUAGAUAAUUAUGUUACAAGAUAGAGAGAGACAGAGAGAGGGAGAAAGACGGAGAAAGAAGAGAGACAGAGAGAGAGAAUGUGUGUCUGACAGAGAAAGACAAGAUAAAUAAUUAUGUUGCUAGAGACAGAGAGAGUGAGAGAAAGAAAGCGGGGAACAGAGUAGGAGCGAGGGGGCCGGAGAGAGAGAGAAAGAGAGAUGAGAGAGAGACAGAGACAGUGAGAGAGAGACAGAGACAAUGAGAGAGAGACAGAGACAGUGAGAGAGAGAUAAAGACAGUGAGAGAGAGACAGAGACAGUGAGAGAGAGAGAGAGAAACAGACAAGAGGAAGUUGACAGACUAAAAAUAGACAGGCCAAUAGACGGACAUAGAUCGAUGGACACAUAGGCAGACAUAGACAGAGAGAUAGAUUGACACAGACAGACUGACAGAUAGAUAGAGAGACAGACAGACAGACACACACACACAGAUAGAUAGAUAGAUAGAUAGAUAGAUAGAUAGAUAGAUAGAUAGAUAGAUAGAUAGAUAGAUGGAUGGAUGGAUGGAUAGGAUAGAUAGAUAGAUAGAUAGAUAGACAGACAGACAGACAGACAGACAGACAGACAGACAGACAGACAGGAAGGUAGGUAGGUGGACAGUGAUGCUUAGAGUUGUUGUGAUGAUGAUGAUAUUUAUCUUUGUUGGGGUGGUUCACGUUGUUAUUGAAUCGGGAGAAAUGGUCUUUGGCAAUCACACACACACACACGUCUCAGAUGUGACGCCAUGCUGAGCAGUAAAAGUCACCGUGUGACAUACCUACCACCUCCCACCUUCACCACCAACACCAACACCACCGCCUCCGACCAUCACACUCUGUGACUGUAACGUUUAACUCCGCUUUCUCCUCCCCUUCUUUCCUCCUACCCUUCCCCUUACUACUAACCCCCCCCCCCCCUCAUCCGAAAACAUAAACAAAUGACUCUGGCUCGUGUCCGCCACCCACCACGUUGUGUCCUGACGUCAUACAGCUGUGGUCCCCCUUUUAUUAUCAUUAUUAUUAUUAUUAUUAUUAUUAUUAUUAUUAUUAUUAUUAUUAUUAUUAUUAUUAUUAUUAUUAUAUUAUAUUAUUAUCAUUAUCAUUAUUAUUAUUAUCAUUAUUAUCAUUAUCAUUAUUAUUAUUAUUAUUAUUAUUAUCAUUAUUAUCAUUAUCAUUAUUAUUAUUAUCAUUAUUAUCAUUAUCAUUAUUAUCAUUAUUAUCAUUAUUAUUAUUAUUAUUAUUAUUAUUAUUAUUAUUAUUAUUAUUAUUAUUAUCGUUAUUAUUAUUAUUAUUAUUAUUAUUAUCAUUAUUAUCAUUAUCAUUAUUAUUAUUAUCAUUAUUAUCAUUAUCAUUAUUAUUAUUAUCAUUAUGAUUAUUAUUAUUAUGAUUAUUAUUAUUAUUAUUAUGAUUAUUAUUAUUAUCAUUAUCAUUAUUAUUAUUAUCAUUAUUAUCAUUAUCAUUAUUAUUAUUAUCAUUAUGAUUAUUAUUAUUAUGAUUAUUAUUAUUAUGAUUAUUAUUAUUAUUAUGAUUAUUAUUAUUAUGAUUAUUAUUAUUAUUAUUAUGAUUAUUAUUAUUAUCAUUAUUAUUAUUAUUAUUAUUAUUAUUAUUAUCAUUAUUAUUAUUAUUAUUAUUAUUAUCAUUAUUAUUAUUAUGAUUAUUAUUAUUAUGAUUAUUAUUAUUAUGAUUAUUAUUAUUAUUAUUAUGAUUAUUAUUAUUAUGAUUAUUAUUAUUAUUAUUAUGAUUAUUAUUAUUAUCAUUAUUAUUAUUAUUAUUAUUAUUAUCAUUAUCAUUAUUAUUAUUAUUAUUAUCAUUAUCAUUAUAAUUAUUAUUUUUAUUAUUUUAUUUUUUGUUUAUAUUAUGAGGUUGUUAUUUUAGUUUUAUUGUCCAGGUGAAAAAAGAGGGGGAGAAGGCAGAGAGUGGGGGUCGGAGGGGGGGGGGGCAACCGUUUCUCGUUCUUAAGACGAGAGAAAGCGACAGGGAGAUGAUCUUUUUAUCAUUAUCUUUUAUUUGUUUAAAUCGUAGAACGGUGGCCAUGCUAGGGCACUUUCUUGAAUGGUUCUUGUCUAACUAAUCGACUCAAAUACCAUUUUUUUUUUCUUUUUAAGCUUGGUGCGUCUUCGAUCGAUCUUGUUAUGCUGAACUACGAAGUUAUGGGGCCGUAAACACGCCAACACCGUUUGUCAAGAGGUGAUGGGGAUAAACGCAGACACAAAGACAUGACAGGCUUCUUUCAGUUUCCGUCUACCAAAUUCACUCACAAGUCUUUG
rnacentral:lncRNA from 1 species